UUUCGCAAUGCCCGAAAGGGUGACGAAGCGACGCCGCGUGUGGGAAGAAGGCCUUCGGGUUGUAAACCACUGUCGGGAGUUAGGAAAUGCAGGUGCGUUAAUAGCGCACUUGCUUGACUAAGGCUCCAGAGGAAGCCACGGCUAACUCUGUGCCAGCAGCCGCGGUAAUACAGAGGCGGCAAGCGUUGUUCGGAAUUAUUGGGCGUAAAGAGCACGUAGGCGGCCUUGCAAGUCAGUUGUGAAAGCCUUCCGCUUAACGGAAGAACGGCAUCUGAUACUACAGGGCUUGAGUACGGGAGGGGAGAGUGGAACUUCUGGUGGAGCGGUGAAAUGCGUAGAUAUCAGAAGGAACGUCGGCGGCGAAAGCGACUCUCUAGACCGUAACUGACGCUGAGUGUGCGAAAGCUAGGGGAGCAAACGGGAUUAGAUACCCCGGUAGUCCUAGCCGUAAACGAUGGGCACUAAGUAGAGGGGUUUU
rnacentral:rRNA from 1 species